rnacentral:rRNA from 1 species
UACGUAGGGUGCAAGCGUUAAUCGGAAUUACUGGGCGUAAAGCGUGCGCAGGCGGUUCCCUAAGAGAGAUGUGAAAUCCCCGGGCUCAACCUGGGAACUGCAUUUGUGACUGUGGGGCUAGAGUACGGUAGAGGGGGAUGGAAUUCCACGUGUAGCAGUGAAAUGCGUAGAUAUGCGGAGGAACACCAAUGGCGAAGGCAAUCCCCUGGACCUGUACUGACGCUCAUGCACGAAAGCGUGGGGAGCAAACAGG